UACGAAGGGGGCUAGCGUUGCUCGGAAUCACUGGGCGUAAAGGGCGCGUAGGCGGCGUUUUUAAGUCGGGGGUGAGAGCCUGUGGCUCAACCACAGAAUGGCCUCGAUACUGGGACGCUUGAGUAUGGUAGAGGUUGGUGGAACUGCGAGUGUAGAGGUGAAAUUCGUAGAUAUUCGCAAGAACACCAGUGGCGAAGGCGGCUCACUGGCCCGAUACUGACGCUGAGGCACGAAAGCGUGGGGAGCAAACAGG
rnacentral:rRNA from 1 species